UGUUAUAUAAUUUACAUUUUUUAUAAGGUUGGUUGAAUUGUUUAAAAAAUAUUUAAUUGUUAUUGUAUUUAUUUGAGAUAAAAUUAAUUUUGUUAUAGUUUAUUUGUACUGUAAAGGUAUAUUGAAAUAGUUGUUAAGGUUAAAAAAAGUUGAUUUAAUUUGUUGUACCUUGUGUAUCAGGGUUUAUUAAAAGUUAAUAUUUAUUUAUUGUUCCCGAUUUUAGGAGAGUUAAAUCAUUAUGUUUAUUAAUGUAGAAUAAUUAUAGAAAAUAAUGAUUUGGAGGUGAAAUGUUAAUCGAUCUUGAAUAUAUCUGGUUUUUUGAGAAAUGAAUUUAAUUCAGAUACUAUUUUAUAUAUGUUUUAAUUUUAAAAUAAAUAUUAAAUUGGUGUUAAUACUUUGAGGGAUAAGCUUAAAGGUAAAAUUUCUAUAAAUUUGUAAAAUGAAUAAGGUAUAAUGGAUUUAGAGGUGAUUAUAAAUUGAAGGAUGUUAAAAUUUUACUUAUUUAUUAUGUUAUUUAUAUUAUGUUUGGAUUUAUUAUUAAAAAUUUUAUUUAAUUAUUAAUUAUUUGUUAUUAUGAUAAAAUUAGUAUAAUUUUUAUAUUUGUUUAUAUUAAAGGUUGUUUGAAGAUUAAGAGGAAUUAGGCAAAAUUAUUCUAUGUUCGCCUGUUUAACAAAAACAUCUCUUUUUGUUUGUAUGAAAAGUAUAACCUGCCCACUGACUAUGUUGAAGGGCCGCGGUAUUUUGACCGUGCAAAGGUAGCAUAAUCAUUAGUCUCUUGAUUAGAGGCUGGAAUGAAUGGUUGGACGAAAUGUAGGCUGUCUUAUAAUUUAUAUUAGAAUUUAAUUAUUAAGUAAUAAAGCUUAAAUAUUUUUAUGGGACGAGAAGACCCUAUAGAGUUUAAUAAUUAAUAUUUAUAUAUUUGUUUGUUUAAAAAUUUAUUUUAUUAAUUAUUUUGUUGGGGUGAUGAAAGGAUAUAAUAAACUCUUUUUAUUGUUUAAUAUUAAUAUAUAGGUUUGAUGAUCCAUUAAUAGUGAUUACAAGACUAAAUUACCUUAGGGAUAACAGCGUAAUCUUUUUUGAGAGUUCAAAUCGACAAGGGGGAUUGCGACCUCGAUGUUGGAUUAAGAUAAACAUUAGGUGUAGAAGUUUAAAAUGUUAGGUCUGUUCGACCUUUAAAAUCUUACAUGAUCUGAGUUCAAACCGGCGUGAGCCAGGUUGGUUUCUAUCUAUAAAUAAAGUUAGUAUUUUAGUACGAAAGGACCAAUUACUAGAAAUAAUUUUAUUAAUUUAUGAUUAUUAUUAAUUA
rnacentral:rRNA from 1 species